ensembl:lncRNA
UGCGUUUCAAACAAAAGAAAGGCAAGAAUGCAUAAUGAAUAGGAAUAAAAGAUAUAAUUGUAUCGUAAAAAAAAAAAAAAUGGAGGAUAAAAAUAAGAAUAAAGGCAGUAUCAAAAUGGGUAAUACUAAAAGAGCUACCAGAAAGACUAUCAAAAAGCGUUCGCCAAAUUGUAAUAACUGCAACAACGAAUGUGCUCAAAAAAAAACCAAAACAGUAUUUAAAAAAAAUAAAUCAUUUGCAUUUACAAAUUUGUAUGAAUCGAAGGCCACCAAUAAAAAAAUGCUAUUCAAAUAUAAAAAAUAUAUGAAUUAUUGUUACUAUAUGAAAAACAUUUUGAAUAAAAAAGAUUUUAUAAAAAACAAAUUAAACAAGUUUCGUUUAAUAUAUGAAUUAGAGAAUAAAACUAAUAGUAUACCAUAUAAAAAAAAAGAAUGGGUUAAAGCAAAUAAUAUAAUGAUAAACCAAUUUCAGCAGAACGUAUGUAUCUAUAUACAAAACAAAUUAUUUGCAUAUUUUAAAAAAAAUAUUGUUAACUACUUUUUUAUAUUAUCAAAUGAAAAUCUAGCUAGAUGUAUAAUAAAUUAUUUUCCAACACAUAUAUAUAAUUGUACAUAUACAAAUAUAAAUUAUUAUUAUGAUAAAUGUGUGAAAAAUAUAUAUCAUUUUGAAUUUAUAGCAUUGGUUGAGUUAUUAAAAAUAUUUAUAUUAAAUUUUGGAGAUAGUUUUGAAUUAUAUGAACAACUUAUUAAACCAUUAUUUUUGCAAAAAAUUUAUAAUAUAAAUAAAGCUUUGAUAUAUAUAAAAAAAAGAAACUAUUUAGUUGAUACUUCUUAUUUACUUUCGAAAUAUAUUUCAAAUGAUUUAAUAUGCAACAAUAUAUAUGCUAAUUUAGUUUAUAAAGCUAUGUUUUAUAAAAAAAAAUUGUCAUACUUCACGAAAAAAUAUCUUUUUAAUAAUGUCCUAGAUAUCGUUUAUUUAUAUGGAGUUCAAUGCGCAGAAUCUAAAAUAAUACAAGCAAGAAACAUUGAAUGUACAUUUAAAAAAUCAAUUAAUGCAAAUUAUGAUAUACGAAAACUGUCAAACCAUAUUGAUAUAUUAUAUAAUGAACAGCAACACGUGGAAAAUUUAUAUUAUUACGAUAGUACUGAUAAAUGUGCUGGUUACUAUCAUGUUGAUUUAGAACAUAAUAAUGAUUACAACUAUAACAGAAAUAAUAAGAACAACUACAUGUUUAACGAUGAAUAUAUAAAUAAUAAUGAAGAUUAUUUAAGUAACUAUACAUGCAUGCAAAACUGUAAAAAUUCUAUAAUAUAUAACAAACAGAUGGAAGAAGAACAGCAUAAUAGUGGUGAUUGUCAUAUUAAUAAUAGUAACAAUAACAUAUUAAACAAUUGUAAUGAUGGUAUGAGUGACUGCUCUAAUAAGGAAUGCAAAAUUUUUUAUUUUAACAAAAAAUUAACGAUUUUUGAGCUGAACUAUUAUAUUAAUAAUUUUUUAAGAGGAAACAUCAACUUGUAUGCAUGUAACAAUUAUGUGUUAACUGAUACGAGUACAAGUAGUACUACUAAUAUGGACAGCAUUGAUAUUGAUAGUCUGACUAGUAGAACUAGUAGUGAUCAUACAAAUAGCAAUGAUAAAACAUGUAUUAACAAUAGUAGUAAAAAUAAAUAUACUGAAGAUUAUCAACAAAAUUCACGAAUCGGAAAAUCAAACAACAAUAUCACGUAUACUAGGUUAAAAAAAAAAAAAAAAAAAAAAANNNNNNNNNNNNNNNNNNNNNNNNNNNNNNNNNNNNNNNNNNNNNNNNNNNNNNNNNNNNNNNNNNNNNNNNNNNNNNNNNNNNNNNNNNNNNNNNNNNNAAAAAAAAAAAAAAAAAAAAAAAAAAAAAAAAAAAAAAAAAAAAAAUCAAAUAUAGUACCAAUAGAAUCAAUAAAAAAUGUAUACCAAAAUAGAAACGAAUCUAUAAACUAUAGUUCAUCAACAUUAUCAAGUACAAACGAUUCAGAUGUAUAUAAUGAUAAUCUUUCUGACGAUUAUGAAAUAAUCAAAUUAUUAGAAAACACGAAUAAAGAUAAAAAAAAAUUAUUAGGAGGCAUAAAUCAACAUAUAAAGUGUUUAACUAAACAUGUAAGCGAAUAUGUACCUAAUUAUUAUAUUUUAAAUAGUUGUGGAAAAACAAAAAUGUCGAAAAUACUUUCUAACAUUUUUUUAGAAGAUCAGAAAGAACAAAUAGGAGGUGAUAAUGAUUAUUUAUUUUUGCAACAGUUACAUUAUGGUACAAAUGAUAUGCAUAAUUGUUAUUUUAAUUAUCUAAAAAAAUAUUGUUUAUAUAUUUAUAAAAAUCAUUCAUUUAAAUGUGAUAAAAAUAAUAAAACCAUAGCACAAAACUUGGGUUUGUUGAAUAUACAAAAUACGAAUAUUAAUUUUGCAUACAUUUUUAAUAAAUAUGUACAAGCAAAUAAUAAUGGAAAUAAUAAUAAUAAUAGUAAACCUAAUUCACUUAUUUAUAAAAAAAAUAAAUUAUUAAUAUUUAACAUAAGUAAAAAAACAUUUAUUGAUUUUGAAAUAUACCCGCAAAAUAUACAUUUAUAUAACAUUGCU